AUAAAGGAGACCAGAAAGGAAAAGGAACUAUAGGUUGCCUUAUCUUUCUCUUUCCUUCUAUGUCAUCAUUUUCAAACUAAGUGGUUACAGAGAAGUAUUAACAUAAGAAAAGACAGAGAAAGUUUCCUUGGUUGUUACCUUCUUUUUGCAUUCAAAUCAGGCUUUGGUUGGAAUGGAAAGCGUGGCAAACCCCAUUUUGGGGUUGUCAGUGUCCUCACUUAGUCAUUGAUGUGACAUGCUUACCUCAUACUCAAUUUGAGUUUUGCAGAACUCCCACACAUUGUGUGCCCACAGGGAUUCUGUGCUUAUGGGGCAACAAGAAUGCUAUGUGUGAGUGGAACAAGUAAAGAAUGGCAGCAGCUAUGCAUGUUAUCUGUAUUUCCUCUGUUCAUGCACAUGCUCCAUUGUCCCAUCAGCCUUCACUUACAAAACAAAAGUUCAAAGAUAAAAUUAUUAGGAAUUUCAUUAUGGUGACAACAGAGCAUUAAAUGAAGUGCCAGGCCCCAAGCACCAAGCCCUUCCCAGCAUGGGUGGUAUGCAGCUGUCCAGAUCACAUGCCCAUGAAGCUGGCCAUGGGGAUAAAACUUGAUCCUUUAUUGUGGUAGAAGCAUAGGGCAUGUUGGAGAUGCAGUAGACAUGCUGGCAUGGCUGGUUAUAGCAAGGAGUACAUAACAUAGCUAACAUGUAUUAGACAUGUAUUAUGUUUUAGGUACUGUCCUAAAUAUUUCAUACAUCUUUUAAAGUUUGCCAGAGGACCCUGUGAAACAGUAUUAUUAUGUACUUCAUUUUCCAGAUGUUAAAAAUUAGGAAGAUCAAAUAAUCUGCUGAAGCUCAGGCCUGGGUACUGGGUGACAGAGGGUAUACUCUUAACCAGCUCAUCAUGCUACCUGCAUGCAACACAAGGAGUUAUUGGAUAGGCACAUGAGGCUGGAAAAGGUAGAAGAUUCUGAGGCCCUGGGCGGGAACUAGUAAGCCACAAUCUGGAAGAGUCUUUUAUCACCAUGUGGAGGAGAACUAGAGCACUCAUGUUGAACUAUUACCGAGAAAAGUAAUCAACUUCUUUUGUGUUAAGUCACUGAAAGGCAAGUGUUAAUUUGUUGCAGUAAUUGGUGCUCCCUUAACACACCUGUCAGCCAGGCCAAACUCUAUCACAGCAUAAAUAAUCUUUUCCUUAAAUAAAUACAGGUAAAAGAAUAAAAUAGACCUAAGUGCAUUAAUAUGAAUAUAGGCUCAAAGCAAAAUGUUGGGCUAUAAAUGUUCAGAGUGAUAAUUUUUUAAGUUGAUGUGUAAUUUAGUACAGUAAAAUAGAUAAAACCUAAAUGUUCAGUUCAAUGAAUUUUUACAUGUUCAUACCCCUGUAUAAUCACCUCCCAGAACAACACAGAAAAUACUUCAUAUAAAUGGAAUCAUACAGUG